ACCCUCUAGACUAGUGGUUACCCUUAAAUUGGCAUUGCAUUGAUACUCUACAACGAUUUUGGGACUUGUUUUUUAUUCUGUCGAUCGGCCAAGAGAAUAGGCGAUUUUUUAAACAGUUUUUUGUUGUGAUGAGAUGAUCGUCGCCCCGGAACUUUUCGCCGCUCAGAACUCGACGAUGAACUGCGGAAUCCAAUACGACUCGAGGCACGUCUUCCCGGGCCUCAACAUGGAUUCUCCUUGGAUGGGUCAUCAUGUCCAAGCGACAGUG